rnacentral:rRNA from 1 species
GGGAGUUUGAUCCUGGCUCAGGAUCAACGCUGGCGGCGUGCCUAAUGCAUGCAAGUCGAGCGGGGUGCAUUACGGUGCACUUACGCGGCGGACGGGUGCGGAACACGUGGGCAACCUGCCCCGGGGCGGGGGAUAGCCAUGGGAAACCGUGGGGAAUACCGCAUAGCUUCCCUGCUCAGCAGGAGGGGGGAAGAAAGGAUGAUGAGUCCACCCUGGGAGGGGCCUGCGGCCGAUUAGCUAGACGGUGGGGUGAUGGCCUACCGUGGCGAUGAUCGGUAGCUGGUCUGAGAGGACGACCAGCCACACGGGGACUGAGAGACGGCCCCGACUCCUACGGGAGGCAGCAGCAAGGAAUCUUCCGCAAUGGGGGCAACCCUGACGCAGCGACGCCGCGUGGGCGAUGAAGGCCUUCGGGUCGUAAAGCCCUGUGACCAGGGAGGAGAAAGGACAGUACCUGGUCAGCAAGCCUCGGCUAACUCCGUGCCAGCAGCCGCGGUAAGACGGAGGAGGCGAGCGUUAUCCGGAUUUACUGGGCGUCAAGGGCGCGUAGGCGGCCUAGCAGGUCGUGGGUGCAAGCCCCAGGCCCAACCUGGGGAGGUCCUGCGAUACCACUAGGCUUGAGGAUCGUAGAGGGGGGCGGAAUGUCCGGUGGAGCGGUGGAAUGCGUAGAUAUCGGACGGAACACCCGAGGCGAAGGCGGCCCCCUGGGCGACACCUGACGCUGAGGCGCGAAAGCGUGGGGAGCAAAGCGGAUUAGAUACCCGCGUAGUCCACGCCCUCAACCCUGAACCCUAGGUAUGGGGGGUACCGACCCCUCCCGUGCCGACGCUUACGCUUUAAGGGUUCCGCCUGGGGAGUACGGUCGCAAGACUUAAACUCAAAGGAAUUGACGGGGGCCCGCGCAAGCGGUGGAGCGUGUGGUUUAAUUCGAUGCUAAGCGCAGAACCUUACCCGGGCUCAAAGGACUGGUGGUACUCGCCUGAAAGGGAGGGGGACCCGCAAGGGAGCCAGCUCAGGUGCUGCAUGGCUGUCGUCAGCUCCUGCCCUGGAGGUGUUGGGUUAAGCUCCGCAACCAAGCGCAACCUCCGCCCCCCGGUAACCUCUCUGGGGGGAAAAGCGGCCCAAAACGCCCAAGAAAAGUGGGGAUAAAUUUCAAUUCCCAUGGGUCCUAAAUUCCGGGGGCACCACCACCCCUACAAUGGGGGACCCCAAAAGGGUCCUCCAAAAACAAAC